CAUUAAUCGGACAAUUCACACAAAAAUGUAUAUUCAAUGACAUGCAAAAUACUAUAGUAUGUAAAAUGAAUAAGCUAGUUUUCACACAUCGCUAGUGUAUCACAACGACCUCGUCAGGAAAGACUGCAGCAUGUGUAUGUAGAACGUGUCUAAUGCUGUAAGAAGGAAGCUCUAGAAUUAGACAUCUUCUAUCAAAUUAAAAAAAUCUCCCCAUAAGAGUCACCUAAGGAGAAUCACGUAAAGAGAGUCACCUAAGAGUGAUCCUCACAUCUAACCAUUUUCCAAAAGGAACUAUUUUUUUUUAAAUAGUCAGGAGAAAAAAAAAAAUACAAAAUCAGUGCCUGAACAAGAUAUCACAUGACCACAGUGGUGCUUUAUAACUGUGAAAACCAAAAAGCAGAACUUCAGGUCCAGUCCACUUGAAGCAACAACGUCCAAUAACCUUACGUUCAACUCCAGCAAUAUGGACUUUUCUGGCAAAUUUCAGACAGGAAUAGAAUUUGGAGAGAUGGAUCUGUAUUUGAUGUCAAUACAGAAAGAGAGUACAUGAAUACUGAGAGAUAUCGGACACCUCAAAACACAGUGAGGAUCAGAAACUACAGAGCAGCUGUAGUGUGUUUGGUUCUGCUGUGUGUUGUUCUGCUGUUCUGUUCUUCUUCAUAGUGCUGUGUUGGCAAAGACUUAACCCUCACAUGGUUUACCAGGCUAAGGACACAAAACAAGAAUGAGCACAACUGACAAUGGAAGGCGUCGAGCCAUUCACUGUAAGUUGAUUUAUCAGUGUUUUCAUGUAUCUCUUUUUAUGAAUCAUACUAUGUUUCUCAACAAUUGUCAUCCCAUGGUGUUGAAAUUAUAUUUGAUAAAUUGUCAGUGGACUGAAUUACACAGACCAAUACAAAAAAAAAAAAAAAAAAAUACAUUUUGAUAAGGAAUGCCCACUUCAAAAUAGUUUUUCAGUAACAAAAAAGAAAAAAAAAAAGAAAAAAACUAGUAGGUGAAAUUAGCCUGCUUUCUAAAUAUUUGUGAAUUAUUCAUGCCUUAUAUUUUGUAAUGAACCUCCACAUGAUCUAUUAGCCAUAAUGGCUUCAGGAGAGUUCAGAAUAAGUCAAAUAUAACAUUUUAUUUGUCAGGUAAGAAUGACAAUUACAUGAAUAAACAAUGACAAUCCAAGU